AAGUCGUAACAAGGUCUCCGUUGGUGAACCAGCGGAGGGAUCAUUACAGAGUUGCAAAACUCCCUAAACCAUUGUGAACCAACCCCUAAACAGUUGCUUCGGCGGGUGGCCGGGCCCCCCGAGGGCCCUGCCGCCGAGCCCGCCGGAGUCGAACCAAACUCUUGUUUACCACUGGCCUCUCUGAGUACUGUACUUUAAAUAAGUCAAAACUUUCAACAACGGAUCUCUUGGUUCUGGCAUCGAUGAAGAACGCAGCGAAAUGCGAUAAGUAAUGUGAAUUGCAGAAUUCAGUGAAUCAUCGAAUCUUUGAACGCACAUUGCGCCCGCCAGUAUUCUGGCGGGCAUGCCUGUUCGAGCGUCAUUUCAACCAUCAAGCCCCCGGCUUGUGUUGGGGACCUGCGGCUGCCGCAGGCCCUGAAAGACAGUGGCGGUCUCGCUGUAGCACCGAGCGUAGUAACUAAAACCUCGCUAAGGCUGCUCCGCGGGCUCCGGCCGUAAAACCCCCUUCUAACACAAGGUUGACCUCGGAUCAGGUAGGAAUACCCGCUGAACUUAAGCAUAUCAAUAAGCGGAGGAAAAGAAACCAACAGGGAUUGCCCCAGUAACGGCGAGUGAAGCGGCAACAGCUCAAAUUUGAAAUCUGGCUUCGGCCCGAGUUGUAAUUUGUAGAGGAAGCUUUUGGCAAGGCACCGACUGAGUCCCCUGGAACGGGGCGCCAUAGAGGGUGAGAGCCCCGUAUAGUCGGACGCCGAGCCUCUGUAAAGCUCCUUCGACGAGUCGAGUAGUUUGGGAAUGCUGCUCAAAAUGGGAGGUAAAUUUCUUCUAAAGCUAAAUAUUGGCCAGAGACCGAUAGCGCACAAGUAGAGUGAUCGAAAGAUGAAAAGCACUUUGAAAAGAGGGUUAAACAGCACGUGAAAUUGUUGAAAGGGAAGCGCUUGUGACCAGACUUGCGCCUGGCCGAUCAUCCGGGGUUCUCCCCGGUGCACUCGGCCAGGCUCAGGCCAGCAUCGGUUCUCUUGGGGGGGACAAAGGUCCCGGGAACGUAGCUCUCUACGGGGAGUGUUAUAGCCCGGGGCGUAAUGCCCUCGAGGGGACCGAGGACCGCGCUUCGGCAAGGAUGCUGGCGUUACGGUCAUCAGCGACC
rnacentral:rRNA from 1 species